AUUGUUAGGCACCAGCUCAAGCAAUCAGGCUUUCUUUGUAUUAGCUGAAAAACAAGGAAAUCGCACAUCCACGCCUAACUGCCUCACACCUGUGCUUGCAAAAGUGGCAGAAGCACUGAGCAUCUUGUGACUAAUCUGGAAAAUUGUCUACUUCAAGCAAAGUGACUUUCAGUGUUUCAGGCCGAAGGUGCAGCUCUUCUUAUGGAGAUAGCAGAGACACAAGAGACCAAGCUCAACUACACAAGCAUAUUUCAUGUCUCUGCUUACGUCACAUCUGUCAUUAUCCCAUUGGCCAAGGAAAAGACUGUCUACCACGGCAAUAAAGUAUUUGUGCUCUCUGCAGCCAGACAAUUGAAGAAGAAACACUGACAAGCAUAUUGCUAUAUCAAUAAUGCACUGUCCUUCACAGACAAAAGGCACAGCUACUGACCCACCUCUAGUAAAGCGCAGGCCUUGAACUGUGUCGCCAGAGGUAAAAAGAGAAGACACAAAUUAUCUAACAGGCACAGUGGCUCACGCCUGUAAUCUGAGCAUUUUGGGAGGCCUGGGCAGGUGGAUCACUUGAGCCCAGGAGUUCGACAGCCACUUGAACAACAUGGCAAAACCCUGUCUCCACAAUGGCACACCAUGUUCUUCUCAGCCUCCAGAAUUAUGACCCUCACCAGAUGCCAACACCAUGCUCUUGGACUUGCCAGCCUCCAGAACCGAGAGUACAUCUAUUGUUUUCAACUAUAAGAAGACAUCCAAG
rnacentral:lncRNA from 10 species